rnacentral:rRNA from 1 species
AGUUCGAUUAUGGCUCAGAUUGAACGCUGGCGGGAUGCUUUACACAUGCAAGUCGAACGGCAGCACGGGAUCUCCGGUCUGGUGGCGAAAUGGGCGAACGGGUGAGUAAUGUAUCGAACGUGCCUAGUAAGGGGAUAACUACGCGAAAGCGUAGCUAAUACCGCAUACACCGGGGAAAGCGGGGGACCUUCGGGCCUUCGCCACCAUUAGAGCGGCCGAUACUGGAUUAGCUAGUUGCGGUAGCAUCAUCACCGGUGGGCGACCGUAGCUGGUUUGAGGACGACCAGCCACACUGGACUGGAGACACGCCCAGACUCCUACGGGAGGCAGCAGUGGGGAAUUUUGGACAAUGGGGGAAACUCCUGAUCCAGCCAUCCUUAUGUGCGAUGAAGGCCUUGCCAGAAAAGGUCUUUGGCAGUGAAGAAAACGGCACGUGGAUAACGCCCCGUGCAACUGACGGUACCUGCAGAAUAAGCACCGGCUAUGUCCAGCGUGCCAGCAGCCGCGGUAAUACGUAGGUGCCAAGCGUUAAUCGGAAUUACUGGGCGUAAAGCGUGCGCAGGCGGUUCGGAAAGAAAGAUGUGAAAUCCCAGAGCUUAACUUUGGAACUGCAUUUUUAACUGCCGAGCUAGAGUGUGUCAGAGGGAGGUGGAAUUCGCGUAGCAGUGAAAUGCGUAGAUAUGCGGAGGAACAACGACGGCGAAGGUACCGGCGAUAACACUGACGCUCAUGCACGAAAGCGCGGGGAGCAAACAGGAUUAGAUAAUUCUGGUAGUCCACGCCCUAAACGAUGUCAAAUUAGCUGUUGGGGCCUUCGGGCCUUGUAGCGCAGCUAACGCGUGAAGUUGACCGCCUGGUGAGCAUGGUCGCAAGAUUGUGAAAACUCAGCGAAUUGGCGGGGAUCUGCACAAGCGGUGGAUGAUGCGAUUAAUUCGAUGCAACGCGAAAACCUCUGGCCUACCUGACAUGUCUGAAUCCCGAAGAGAUUUGGGAGUGCUCGCAAGAGAAAUCCGGAACACAGGCGUCGUAUGGUUGCCGUCAGCUCGUGUCGUGAGAUGUUGGGUUAAGUCCUGCAACGAGCGCAAACUUUGGUCAUUAGUUGCUACGAAAGGGCACUCUAAUGACUGCCGGUGACAAACCGGAGGAAGGUGGGGAUGAUGUCAAGUCUCAUGGCCCUUUGGCGGUAGGGCUUCACACGUCAUACAAUGGUCGGGACAGAGGCGUCGCCGCACCCGCGAGGGGGAGCUAAUCCCAGAAACCCGAUCGUCCGGAUCGCAGUCUGCAACCGACUGCGCGAAGUCGGAAUCCUAGUAAUCGCGGAUCAGCAUGUCGCGGUGAAUACGUUCCCGGGUCUUGUACACACCGCCCGUCACACCAUGGGAGUGGGUUUUACCAGAAGUAGUUAGUCAACCGUAAGGAGGAGAUUACCACGGUAGGAUUCACACUGGGGUGAAGUCGUACUGAAGGUAG